CCUGAAAACCAUAGGAGGUCCCGCCUGCCCAGUGACACCUGUUCAACGGCCGCGGUACCCUAACCGUGCGAAGGUAGCGCAAUCACUUGUUCCUUAAAUGGGGACCUGUAUGAAUGGCACCACGAAGGUCAAGCUGUCUCCCUUUUCCAAUCAGUUAAACUAAUCUCCCCGUGAAGAAGCGAGGAUAAAAAUAUAAGACGAGAAGACCCCAUGGAGCUUAAAACUCAGUAUCAACUGCCAUUAACACACCAUAUAAGCCAGGCAGACAUGCUAAUACUAGUUUUCGGUUGGGGUGACCACGGAGCAAAACAAAACCUCCACGACGAAAGGAACUGCCUACCUAAUCAAAGAACAACGCUUCAAAGAAUCAAUAAUUUGACAUAUUGACCCAAACACUUGAUCAACGAAC
rnacentral:rRNA from 1 species